rnacentral:tRNA from 1 species
GUAAAAUAGAAUAUCUUAAUUUGAAAUUAGGGUUUAGUGUCUUAGGUGGCAUGUUUUACU